rnacentral:tRNA from 1 species
GGGGUUGUAGCUCAGUGGUAGACUACGUGCUUAGCAUGCACAAAGUCCUGGGUUCAAUCCCCAGUGCCUUCA